CAGCCGCCGCGGUAAUACCGGCGGCCCGAGUGGCGGUCACUAUUAUUGGGCUUAAAGCGUCCGUAGCCGGGUUGGGAAAUCCUCCGGGAAAUCUGGCCGCUUAACGGUCAGAAUGCCGGAGGAUACUCCCAGCCUAGGGAGCGGGAGAGGCCGAGGGGAUUCCCGGAGUAGGGGGGAAAUCCUAUAAACCCGGGAGGACCACCUGUGGCGAAGGCGCUCGGCUGGAACGCGUCCGACGGGGAGGGACGAAGGCCAGGGGAGCAAACCGGAUUAGAUACCCGGGUAGUCCUGGCUGUAAACGAUGCGGACUUUGUGUCGGACAAGCUAUGAGCUUGUCCGGUGCCGGAGGGAAACCGUUAAGUCCGCCGCCUGGGGAGUACGGCCGCAAGGCUGAAACUUAAAGGAAUUGGCGGG
rnacentral:rRNA from 1 species